ACAUGCUUCUUAAGUGACUCACGCGGUCUGUUCUGUUCUCCUUCACGAUGCCUGCCAGCCCAUGCGUGCGGCUCGGUCAGAGCGAGGGUUAGACAGGCCUGACGUGGAGCUGGGCCCUGGCCUCACUCGAGUGUGGCCACGGGCAGUGCUGCUCUACCUCUCCAAGCCUCUGUUCAUAGGGAAUAAGUCCACCUACGUUAUAGGAUUACCUUGUGAAUUUGAAUUAAGGCGAGGUGACAAACGCCCACCAAGAUCUCUGUGGAUGGACAGAUGGUUUGACUGGCGGGUUCCCUGUGCGUCGUCCUGCCUGUGUGCCCACCAGGCCGCGCUCAGCUCCGGGCAACACUCCGAGCAAGAGUCAGGUCAGUGGCCGCACUUUCUGGUUUCCUCUGACCUCAAGUCUAUUUCUUUUCCAUGUGCAGCAGCUGUCUGCAGUGGAAAACUCCACUGAGGGACAGGCCUCCUCUUAAUGCUCGAAUCAGGCAGAAUCCCGCAGGGAGGGUCGGUCGCCGAGUUCCUGCGUUACACCGGGCAAAUCGUGCCGAAUCUCAGAGCUUCAGUGUCCGUGUUUCCAUCGGCUUGGAACAGAAAUUGUAGAUGGAUUUUGGCUCACGUUCUAACACCAACUGGUGGAUACGGACGGGUUGCUUACGGGGUAGUGUUGAGAUGGAUGCUGAGGCUGUGGUUUGCUCACUAGGAAAGGGUGCUGGGAUUGACUGGCAAUGUCUGCCAUGAACUGAACGAUGGGAAAGAAUGGAAUGUUUGGCAUCACAUAUUUGCCAUCCCAACCCAGGUGCUCUAUCAGCUUCCUCAAAGCUUGAAAUGGCUCAGAGUCUUAAGCUCUCGUUAGAUCAAACAAAACUUAAGAUCUCUAUUUUGAUUUGACCUUUCUUCUAAUGGUGCCCCAGGUUUCUCAUGGUCAGUGAUUCCUUACCACUUUUCAGUGCAAAACCAUUGAGGCCCAUCCAGACCAGCACAUCUCUGAGCCACCGUGACUGGCUCCGACAAGGAAAUCUCCCCCAGGCCAGGUCCCUGAAAACCAGCCCGAAAAUCCCCCACCCCCAGCCACCCCACUCAAUCCAGCCAUCACUGAAGCUAAACCUAACCCUAGACCUUUAAAUUCUGUGAGUCAAUACAUUGUGUUUUUUUGCAUAAGCCUGUAUGAAUUGCGGUUUCAUUACUUGUAACUCAAGGAAUCUUAAUAUGCACAGACUCUUUCUUUUUCCCAGUCGGACCCAGAACGGGCACCAAAGAAGGUUUGGCUAAUACGACAGUGAGAACAUCUGGCGCUUUGUUUUUGUUUUUCUUCUAUCCAGCCAAGACAAGAGGCCUAGAAUGCAGAAAAAGGACACCAAUUUCUUCAAAUAUAGAAGCCAGGGAGACUGCUCCCACGGGGUCUCCGUGAUGGGACAGCCUCUGCUUUGGAUGAAUAGAGACCAAGUGGGGUCACAUUGUUUGGAAUAUCCUUCUGUUCCCCCCAAGACAAACUUUUCAUGCUUUUACCUUAGCUUCCUAGGGUACUGCAUCUAGCUUGGUUAAAGUUUGUUUAAAAACAUUGGCAUAACGCAUACAUACCCUUGGGAGGGAACGAUUAACCAUCAACUAGCAAAGUUAACGUCCCUGCACACCCGUCUCCUCCAGUGAAAUGGACCAGAACCUCCACCCCAUCCCCAGAGGAAACUUCCCUGCCUUGUCCUAGAACAUUUCAAAACUGGGUUUCCGCUUUAAGUUCUUAACAUAUUCUCACCCAAGCUCAGCUUACUGGCCUGGCUCCUUCACAGUGAGGGGAGGGCAAGGUCCAUGAUAUGGGACUAACCGUGAUACUGGGUGCUUCUGGAGACUGACUUCUGAAGUUUUUUAAGGCAAAUUCUCCUAUGGCCCUCUCCCGCCACCCCCCCCCCCCCCAUCCAGAAACCUGAAAGGCACAGCAGCAGUGGGAGGAUAGUGAAGGCUGUGGAGUCAUAUGGACCUGGGGACAAAUCCUAGCCUGUCUCAUUCUUGCUGUGUCAUCAUGAACAAGUUGUUUAACCUC